AGGCUUGAUCCUGGCUCAGGAUGAACGCUAGCGGCAGGCCUAAUACAUGCAAGUCGAACGGUAGGAUUUGUAGCAAUACGAAUCUGAGAGUGGCGCACGGGUGCGUAACACGUAUGCAACCUACCCUUAACAGGGGGAUAGCCCGGGGAAACCCGGAUUAAUACCCCAUAGUAUUAUUUAGAGGCAUCUUUAAAUAAUUAAAGCUGAGGUGGUUAAGGAUGGGCAUGCGCAUGAUUAGCUAGUUGGCGGGGUAACGGCCCACCAAGGCGAUGAUCAUUAGGGGAACUGAGAGGUUGAUCCCCCACACUGGCACUGAGAUACGGGCCAGACUCCUACGGGAGGCAGCAGUAGGGAAUAUUGGUCAAUGGGCGGUAGCCUGAACCAGCCAUGCCGCGUGCAGGAAGACGGCCUUCUGGGUUGUAAACUGCUUUUAUCUGGGGAUAAAAAGCCCAUGCGUGGGACAUUGCAGGUACCGA
rnacentral:rRNA from 1 species